GUAUUGGCGAUACAGACGAAAUAAAAAAGUAACUACACCGAAGCUACUGGGCAGCUCCCGUUUUGUUUGGACCAGUAUGUAAUGGUGUGGCUGUCCUCGGUCAUAAAGGAUAUAAUCGAUAUUACAGCGUAACGGUGUUAGGGAAUGCCGGUACACUUGUUUGUUGCGAGGCAAGAGGCUACGAUGGAAAGCAGAAGGAGAAAUUGUACUCUGUUGGUUGUGAUCACUCUAGUUUAGGCGUUGCGGGUCCAUGGGGAAAUGUUGCAGCAUAUGAAGGAGUUAAGUGUAGAGGGGUCCCUCUGGUUCCAUGUUAUUAGUAAAUUAAUUUGUUUUGAUAAAAUUAAAAUUGUUUUUUGUGGGA